UCCGUAGGCGGGCAAUUAAGUCAGAGGUGAAAUCCCACAGCUCAACUGCGGAACUGCCUUUGAUACUGGUUGUCUUGAGUUAUAGUGAAGUAGAUAGAAUAUGUAGUGUAGCGGUGAAAUGCAUAGAUAUUACAUAGAAUACCGAUUGCGAAGGCAGUCUACUAACUGUAUACUGACGCUAAUGGACGAAAGCGUGGGGAGCGAACAGGAUUAGAUACCCUGGUAGUCC
rnacentral:rRNA from 1 species